CGCGGCCUAUCAGCUUGUUGGUGAGGUAAUGGCUCACCAAGGCGACGACGGGUAGCCGGCCUGAGAGGGCGACCGGCCACACUGGGACUGAGACACGGCCCAGACUCCUACGGGAGGCAGCAGUGGGGAAUAUUGGGCGAUGGAGGAAACUCUGACCCAGCGACGCCGCGUGAGGGAUGAAGGCCUUCGGGUUGUAAACCUCUUUCAGUAGGGGAGAAGCGAAAGUGACGGUACCUACAGAAGAAGCACCGGCUAACUAUGUGCCAGCAGCCGCGGUAAUACAUAGGGUGCAAGCGUUGUCCGGAAUUAUUGGGCGUAAAGAGCUCGUAGGUGGUUCGAUACGUCGGAUGUGAAAAUCAGGGACUCAACCCCUGACCUGCAUCCGAUACGGUCGAGCUAGAGUUUGGUAGGGGAGACUGGAAUUCCUGGUGUAGCGGUGGAAUGCGCAGAUAUCAGGAGGAACACCGAUGGCGAAGGCAGGUCUCUGGGCCAAUACUGACACUGAGGAGCGAAAGCGUGGGGAGCGAACAGGAUUAGAUACCCUGGUAGUCCACGCCGUAAACGGUGGGCGCUAGUUGUGCGAACCUUCCACGGUUUGUGCGACGCAGCUAACGCAUUAAGCGCCCCGCCUGGGGAGUACG
rnacentral:rRNA from 1 species